rnacentral:rRNA from 1 species
UACGUAGGGUGCGAGCGUUGUCCGGAAUUAUUGGGCGUAAAGAGCUCGUAGGCGGUCUGUCGCGUCGGCUGUGAAAACUCGGGGCUCAACCCCGAGCCUGCAGUCGAUACGGGCAGACUAGAGUGCGGUAGGGGAGACUGGAAUUCCUGGUGUAGCGGUGAAAUGCGCAGAUAUCAGGAGGAACACCGAUGGCGAAGGCAGGUCUCUGGGCCACUACUGACGCUGAGAAGCGAAAGCAUGGGGAGCGAACAGG